AACGAACGCUGGCGGCAGGCUUAACACAUGCAAGUCGAACGAGAUCUUCGGAUCUAGUGGCAGACGGGUGAGGAACACGUGGGAACAUCCCUUUCAGUUCGGAAUAACGUUGGGAAACUAACGCUAAUACCGGAUACGUCCUUCGGGAGAAAGACUCAUCGCUGAAAGAUUGGCCCGCGUCUGAUUAGCUAGUUGGUGAGGUAAUGGCUCACCAAGGCUACGAUCAGUUGCUGAUCUGAGAGGAUGAUCAGCCACAUUGGGACUGAGACAUGGCCCAAACUCCUACGGGAGGCAGCAGUGGGGAAUAUUGGACAAUGGGCGCAAGCCUGAUCCAGCCAUGCCGCGUGAGUGAUGACGGCCUUCGGGUUGUAAAGCUCUUUUGUCCGGGAAGAUAAUGACUGUACCGGAAGAAUAAGCCCCGGCAAACUUCGUGCCAGCAGCCGCAGUAA
rnacentral:rRNA from 1 species